GAUGAACGCUAGCUACAGGCUUAACACAUGCAAGUCGAGGGGAAACGACAUUGAAGCUUGCUUCGAUGGGCGUCGACCGGCGCACGGGUGAGUAACGCGUAUCCAACCUGCCUCUGACUAAGGGAUAACCCGGCGAAAGUCGGACUAAUACCUUAUGAGGUUUUCUGCAGACAUCUAACGAAAACGAAAGAUUUAUCGGUCAGUGAUGGGGAUGCGUCUGAUUAGCUUGUUGGCGGGGUAACGGCCCACCAAGGCAACGAUCAGUAGGGGUUCUGAGAGGAAGGUCCCCCACAUUGGAACUGAGACACGGUCCAAACUCCUACGGGAGGCAGCAGUGAGGAAUAUUGGUCAAUGGGCGAGAGCCUGAACCAGCCAAGUAGCGUGCAGGAUGACGGCCCUAUGGGUUGUAAACUGCUUUUAUGUGGGGAUAAAGUGAGCUACGUGUAGUUUAUUGCAGGUACCACAUGAAUAAGGACCGGCUAAUUCCGUGCCAGCAGCCGCGGUAAUACGGAAGGUCCAGGCGUUAUCCGGAUUUAUUGGGUUUAAAGGGAGCGUAGGCCGUGGAUUAAGCGUGUUGUGAAAUGUAGACGCUCAACGUCUGAAUUGCAGCGCGAACUGGUUCACUUGAGUAUGCACAACGUAGGCGGAAUUCGUCGUGUAGCGGUGAAAUGCGUAGAUAUAUGGAAGAACACCAGUGGCGAAGGCGGCUCUCUGGUCUGCAACUGACGCUGAGGCUCGAAAGCAUGGGUAGCGAACAGG
rnacentral:rRNA from 1 species